AAAAAAUUAGUUAAAUAUCAUAACAUUAGUAUGUCAAACUAAAAUUAUUAUUAUUAUAAUAUUUUUUG
rnacentral:tRNA from 1 species